AGCUUGUUCAGAGGAGCUCAGCUCUGGGGGAGAGCUCAAAGCCGACACCUAUUGAGUUGCAGUUAAAAUGAGGGCGAAAAAGGCUUUUGUUUCAGUUCUGCAGAUGGUCUGGGAGUUUGUGUUUCUUAGCAAGAAUUUUCUAGAUCUUUUGGCUUGAACCAUCUGAAUAACUGCCUCAAGCUUUUGCAUGGUUCCCACUGGGUGGGUUGGGGUGGGAGGGGCUGUCGUGCAUGGUCCGGGAAAGCUGGAGAAGGCUGUUCCUUCACCCCGAGCCUUGGAUUUCUUAUCUGUGAAAUGGGAGGCUGCAAUGAUGAAUGGCAAAGUACCUUUUUUUUUCAGCUCUGAAAGUCUAGGAUAUUUUGCCACUGGAAGACCAGCAGACAAUGUCAUGACAACGCAAGAGGAUACAAUAGGGCUGCUUCAAAAGACAAGUCUUUGGACCAUGUCAAGACCUGGAGCGAAGAAGGUUUCAGUAUCAACCUGACUUCUUUUGGAAGGAUCCCUUGGCCUCACGCUGGAGUGGGCACCUGCCCUAGCCCACAGAGCUGGGUUUCUCCCUUUCUUCAAU
rnacentral:sRNA from 1 species